rnacentral:lncRNA from 1 species
CCAUCUCUGAGAAGGGGGGAAAAUCGCCACCUGUUGUCUGAGUGCUGCCAAAGCGUCUUUUCCCAUCCAUCCAUUGGAGAGAUAAAAGUGAGACGGAGGCCAGUGAGAGCAGCUUUGAACGUCAAGCUCCUGCACACGUCAUGCUUGGAGGCUCUGGGCUGGCUUAUGACAGUACUUCCUGAAGCUGAGGGGCCCUCUGCCACUUUUGAGGACAUAGUCUGUGUGAGUAGCUAUGGAAUGAUGGGGAAAGACAGGGGAGUGGUGCUUUGACUACUGCCACUGAUGCCAUCCUUCUGGCUGGAGAAUGAGAGUGCCAGGCCCCUAUGGAUUGAAGGCAGACAAAGAAGUGGGACUUGCUGGAGGAAAAGCCAAGAGUCAGCCCCAAGGAAGUUGAGAGCAGCCUGGGGAAAGGCUGCAGGGAGGAGGUACCUGCACAGAAAUGGCUCUUAGGUCAGGGCAGAGGUGCUAGCCAAGGGAGAAGGGCUGUGCAGGUGGGAACGACCAUGACGAGCAGAAGGAGAGACCUUUAGGGGAGGGGCCAGUAGGUAGGUUUGAGAACCAAAAGGAAUUGCCCUCACACAGUACUUUGCCCAUCAGCUUUCUGAUCCCUUUUUACCUUAAGCAAGCCCGAGGCUACUUCCACUCUUGAGAAGGUGGAGGAAUGUCUCCCAGAGGAUUUAAGUAGUCUGAUCUCAUCAGUGGGAAGGGGGUGGGAGGGGCUGGGGGGUUGGAGCGUUGGAGCUUGAUGAUCCUCAAGGUCCCUUCCAUUUCAAGCCAUUCUAUGAUUCAAUGAUUCUAUCACUUAGGACUUAAGAAAUCAAAAAUGUCGGUAAUGGUGCUGUACCAGUGAACAUUACAUAAAGACUUGGC